rnacentral:rRNA from 1 species
GCCUACGGGACGCAGCAGUGGGGAAUAUUGGGCAAUGGAGGAAACUCUGACCCAGCAAUGCCGCGUGAAUGAAGAAGGUCUUCGGAUUGUAAAGUUCUUUAGUCAGGGAAGAAGUCAAUGACGGUACCUGAAGAAUAAGCCCCGGCUAACUACGUGCCAGCAGCCGCGGUAAUACGUAGGGGGCAAGCGUUAUCCGGAUUUACUGGGUGUAAAGGGAGCGUAGACGGCUGUGCAAGUCUGAAGUGAAAUGCCGGGGCCCAACCCCGGAACUGCUUUGGAAACUGUACAGCUAGAGUGCAGGAGGG